GUGGAAUUUUCGAAAAUUCAUAAGCAUUUAAAAAAAUUCUAAUUAAAUAUUUCGUGGAAGGGCAGACUAGAUUUUUUUAGUGGUUGAAGACUAUAAACCCUAGUUAUCACACACAAAAAAUUAUAAUUUUUCGAAGAUAUGCAUUUUCAUCAUCCAACUUGAAAGACUGUCGUCAAGUACUUUCAGUAAAAAAAAUAGCUAUUCGAACACACCUUCUCUGUUUUUGUGAUUCAUUAGGUAGGUAUUUCACUUGACCCAUAUAUUUCAUCUUUUAGUACUGUGAUUUUUUUAAGUUAUAAAGUCAACCUGUAGCUUUGAUAUAUAAAAAUGAUAGAAUCUGAAGCGAGACGAUGUAUGAAAUAUUCUUGCUUUGUACGAUAUCAAGACAAAAUAUUCAACUCAAACAUGCCCUAACAUAAAAAGGUGCACUCGAUUUCCUCUUUUCGAUACUAUUGUUACCCAUUUGGGGUAUUUUUUUCUUGAGUCACAUAAUAGAAGGGCAGACACGAAAAUUACUGAACUAAUAGAUUGAUAUGUUUUCCGUCC
rnacentral:lncRNA from 1 species